rnacentral:rRNA from 1 species
CGCUUGCUACAGGCUUAACACAUGCAAGUCGAGGGGCAUCAGGAAGAAAGCUUGCUUUCUUUGCUGGCGACCGGCGCACGGGUGAGUAACACGUAUCCAACCUGCCCUUUACUCGGGGAUAGCCUUUCGAAAGAAAGAUUAAUACCCGAUAGCAUAAUGAUUCCGCAUGGUUUCAUUAUUAAAGGAUUCCGGUAAAGGAUGGGGAUGCGUUCCAUUAGGUUGUUGGUGAGGUAACGGCUCACCAAGCCUUCGAUGGAUAGGGGUUCUGAGAGGAAGGUCCCCCACAUUGGAACUGAGACACGGUCCAAACUCCUACGGGAGGCAGCAGUGAGGAAUAUUGGUCAAUGGGCGGUAGCCUGAACCAGCCAAGUAGCGUGAAGGAUGAAGGCUCUAUGGGUCGUAAACUUCUUUUAUAUAAGAAUAAAGUGCAGUAUGUAUACUGUUUUGUAUGUAUUAUAUGAAUAAGGAUCGGCUAACUCCGUGCCAGCAGCCGCGGUAAUACGGAGGAUUCGAGCGUUAUCCGGAUUUAUUGGGUUUAAAGGGAGCGUAGGUGGACUGGUAAGUCAGUUGUGAAAGUUUGCGGCUCAACCGUAAAAUUGCAGUUGAUACUGUCAGUCUUGAGUACAGUAGAGGUGGGCGGAAUUCGUGGUGUAGCGGUGAAAUGCUUAGAUAUCACGAAGAACUCCGAUUGCGAAGGCAGCUCACUGGACUGCAACUGACACUGAUGCUCGAAAGUGUGGGUAUCAAACAGGAUUAGAUACCCUGGUAGUCCACACAGUAAACGAUGAAUACUCGCUGUUUGCGAUAUACAGUAAGCGGCCAAGCGAAAGCAUUAAGUAUUCCACCUGGGGAGUACGCCGGCAACGGUGAAACUCAAAGGAAUUGACGGGGGCCCGCACAAGCGGAGGAACAUGUGGUUUAAUUCGAUGAUACGCGAGGAACCUUACCCGGGCUUAAAUUGCAGUGGAAUGAUGUGGAAACAUGUCAGUGAGCAAUCACCGCUGUGAAGGUGCUGCAUGGUUGUCGUCAGCUCGUGCCGUGAGGUGUCGGCUUAAGUGCCAUAACGAGCGCAACCCUUAUCUUCAGUUACUAACAGGUCAUGCUGAGGACUCUGGAGAGACUGCCGUCGUAAGAUGUGAGGAAGGUGGGGAUGACGUCAAAUCAGCACGGCCCUUACGUCCGGGGCUACACACGUGUUACAAUGGGGGGUACAGAAGGCAGCUAGCGGGUGACCGUAUGCUAAUCCCAAAAUCCUCUCUCAGUUCGGAUCGAAGUCUGCAACCCGACUUCGUGAAGCUGGAUUCGCUAGUAAUCGCGCAUCAGCCACGGCGCGGUGAAUACGUUCCCGGGCCUUGUACACACCGCCCGUCAAGCCAUGGGAGCCGGGGGUACCUGAAGUACGUAACAACAAGGAUCGUCCUAGGGUAAAACUGGUGACUG